CCUAUAGGGGCUGUCCUCCUUCUGAGCCCUCCUGGUAGCAUGCCGCCUGUCCUCUUUGCUACUUGUUUCACAAUGCAGGGACCCUGGGAUGUCACCCAAGACCCAGUUUUGCUCUUUGGGCACACGGAGACCUUCUCAGAGAGAUCCGAGACUACCUCCAACCCCCAGGCCUCGUCUAGAUGGGAUGGCAGAGAUGGGACAGCUCUGAAUUUCCAGGAAGGAACUCCGUCAUUCUCACCCCCUCCCAAUACGAAGUUUCAGGGAGGUAACUUGUGAGAAGUAGAGUUUAUAUCAUAAUCACAGACUCUAGAGACAGACCAUCUGGAUUCAAAUACCAGUUCUGCCACUGUCCAGCCAUGUGACCUCAGGGACCUUUCUGCUUUUCCAGCCCCAGGUGGAAAUGAGCAUGUCCAUCUUCAACUGGGCUAGCUCUAUUUCUUUAGAGCUGGAAAACACUUUGGGCAAUGUGAAGCUUAUGGAAGGUUAGAUAAGAUGCAUCAGCCAUACCGCUG